UACGUAGGGUGCGAGCGUUGUCCGGAAUUACUGGGCGUAAAGAGCUCGUAGGCGGCUUGUCGCGUCGUCCGUGGAAACCCGGGGCUCAACUCCGGGCUUGCGGGCGAUACGGGCAGGCUAGAGUUCGGUAGGGGAGACUGGAAUUCCUGGUGUAGCGGUGAAAUGCGCAGAUAUCAGGAGGAACACCGGUGGCGAAGGCGGGUCUCUGGGCCGAUACUGACGCUGAGGAGCGAAAGCGUGGGGAGCGAACAGG
rnacentral:rRNA from 1 species